rnacentral:rRNA from 1 species
UGAGUAACACGUAUCCAACCUGCCGUCUACUCUUGGACAGCCUUCUGAAAGGAAGAUUAAUACAAGAUGGCAUCAUGAGUUCACAUGUUCACAUGAUUAAAGGUAUUCCGGUGGACGAUGGGGAUGCGUUCCAUUAGAUAGUAGGCGGGGUAACGGCCCACCUAGUCUUCGAUGGAUAGGGGUUCUGAGAGGAAGGUCCCCCACAUUGGAACUGAGACACGGUCCAA